rnacentral:tmRNA from 1 species
GGGGGCGUUCCGGCUUCGACGUGAGCGGACAGCGUCCGGUGAGACGAGCCGAGUUUGCUGGAGACUCGUUAAACGCCGGCACCUAAACAUACACGGCGAACGUGAUAUGGAUCUGGUGGCUGCCUAAGUAGCAACCACCCAUCGGCCCGGAUAGCUCGCGAUCCGGUAACCGGUGUCAUCUUAGUGGGCUUACCCUCCGGGUCCUGGCCCGGGGCUCUGGAGGGGACAUCUAACGGGCUAGCCUCUCAGCGGCGCCCCGGUCCGCUGAGGCAGGCGAAACUAAACCGGAAGCUACGCUCGUAGAAUCUCACGGACGGCGCGCUCGCGGACGCGGGUUCGAUUCCCGCCGCCUCCACUA